UUAAACACAUGAUUAAGUUUUGAAAUGUUACAAAACUUGAAAGGUUGAGGAAGACAAUGAGUCUUCUCAUCUUUGUAACUUUAUAAACUUAAGAGGUUAAGUGUAAGAGAGUUACACAUUUGAGAUUAAAUCAUGUUUAAUGUGUGAAUUAAACAUAUGAUUUAAUUUUGAAUGUUACAAAGAUGAAGAGGUUGAGGAAGACAAUGAGUCUUCUCAUCUUUGUAACUUUAUAAACUUAAGAGGUUAAGUGUAAGAGAGUUACACAUUUGAGAUUAAAUCAUGUUUAAUUUGUGAAUUAAACAUAUGAUUUAAUUUUGAAUGUUACAAAGAUGAAGAGAUUGAGGAAGACAAUAAGUUUUUUCUCAUCCUUGUAACCUUUUUUCAACCCUAAGAGUGCUAUAUAUAUGACUUUUCUGCUUUUUGAAAUCUCAUGCAGAAAAGUGAAAAGGCUUGAUCAAUC
rnacentral:lncRNA from 1 species